ensembl:lncRNA
UUUCUCCUUGAUAAAUGACUAAACUACCUCCACCACCCUCCCACCACUGGCCCAUCAGAUAUAAGAAUGGUUACUCACAUAAAAUGUAGUUCUUAUUAAAUAUGCUCAGCCAAGAACAGCUUUAGAUUGUAUAAUCAUUAGAGCUGCAAUAAAUUGUAAUCGUGUAAAUAAAUGAAAGGAAUCUUGUUAAAGUAAUGAAUGAGACAGCAAUUAAAGGGUUGUUUUGCUUUUCCAAUGAAAAGAAUCAACACUACCAAAGCAACAAUUUGACAUUUCCAAGUAAUUAGUGACUUGAACAAAGGCCACAAGUCAGACAUGGCUACGCGUUUGUCAUUAAUAGCAAACAUUUCAGAGAGAGAAGGUUAAUGCACCCAUUUUCCACUAUGAAACUUUAUCCAGUUUUAGUAUGGAUUUUGAAUAUGAACACAUGAAAUAAAUAAAACCUGAUAAAACCGGUGAAGACGACGACACCCGUUACGUGCAAGGACCACGGUACUGUACACUGCGACAUGUUUUCAUGUAACCCUACAGUACGUUCACAAAGGGACAGUUUCCUGUCUUAUUGCGACAGAGCUACGAUUACACAAAACGACGAAGCGAUACCAAGCGAGAUCUGACUUUAUUCGCAAUUCUAUUGAAAUGAAGUAUGAGCAUGUGAAGCGACAAUCUGUACGCUUAGUUCAAAUGAUUUCUCGGCCCAAGCUCCUCCGACUCCAACGGCACACGUGUAGUCUGUCAUUUCUUCAGUUCCUCAAGGACAGCUUUAGUUCUCAUUUACUGUGUGAUGUGCAAAAAUGGAAGAAAACCACCAUUAUCAUCAUUAUUAUACUACUACCAUGGGUUCGAUCUUAGUCAUAUACAACUGCUCAGUAAAGCUUGGAGCCUAAAAGAAGAAGAAGGAGACUGCAUUAGUCUAGACCAACACCCUGGGUACUCUCACAAGUGAAGAAUGGGACAAAAUCCCAUUAGCGACAGCAUAGCAACCCCUUUCUGAAUGCUGAUAGGCCAGAGCCGAGCAAUCACGAGCGAUGCUAUUGGACACAGCUCAUGUCAAUCAGCAACCUGAUUCAACAUGCUGUCCACGGCUUCAACACGAGGAGAAGGCGG